AUACGGAAGGUGCAAGCGUUAAUCGGAAUCACUGGGCGUAAAGGGCAUGUAGGCGGUCUUGUAAGUCUUGGCGUGAAAUACCACGGGCUCAACCGUGGGAAUGCGUUGAGAACUGCGAGGCUUGAGUGACGGAGAGGGAGCUAGAAUUCCUGGUGUAGGGGUGGAAUCUGUAGAGAUCAGGAAGAAUACCAAUGGCGAAGGCGGCUUGCUGGACAAAUACUGACGCUGAGGUGCGAAAGCGUGGGGAGC
rnacentral:rRNA from 1 species